AAGAAAUAAAGGAAUAUGAUCUAAAUUAUCAUAGAAUACAGAUAUGAAAGACCCCAUUCAGACCCUAGUAAAUGCUGUAAGAUGUGUCGAUUAUUUCACAUUUACGGAAAAAAAUAAAUCCAUAUAUUGUAUAGUACGUUUUGCAGUACGUUUUGCAGCAAAGUUUCAGAGAGUCACACCGAGCGAACAUUUGAAUUGAAGUAGAUAUUGUUCUUCCCGAUUCAAAACAGAACUGCUUGAAGAUAUAAUUAAUGAUAUUAAAAAAUGGCAAGGUGCUUUUUAUAUGUCGGACCGAUGAUAUUUUUUUUCUAUUUGAAUAAAUAAGGAAAUAUCCACAGCUUUACUCCAGAACCAUGGAAAAAAAAUUUAAGAUCUUGCUUGCAUAACAAAACACGGCUUUAAAAUGUUCAUAACUUUCCU
rnacentral:lncRNA from 1 species